GAUGAACGCUAGCUACAGGCUUAACACAUGCAAGUCGAGGGGCAGCAUGAACUUAGCUUGCUAAGUUUGAUGGCGACCGGCGCACGGGUGAGUAACACGUAUCCAACCUGCCGAUGACUCGGGGAUAGCCUUUCGAAAGAAAGAUUAAUACCCGAUGGCAUAGUUCUUCCGCAUGGUAGAACUAUUAAAGAAUUUCGGUCAUCGAUGGGGAUGCGUUCCAUUAGCUUGUUGGCGGGGUAACGGCCCACCAAGGCGACGAUCAGUAGCCGGACUGAGAGGUUGGCCGGCCACAUUGGGACUGAGACACGGCCCAG
rnacentral:rRNA from 1 species